rnacentral:lncRNA from 10 species
GGAAGACAGACAGAGAAUGCCUGUGCACAUAUGCUGUCAAGAAGGGCUCGCGGAUGCCGAGGAAAGCCCAGAGGAGACAGCAGCUGCUUUUGUUUCCUUGGAGGCAGCGCCCAGUAGGGAGUGGGUCAGACAGGAGCCAGGAAGACAAUUACUAGAAAGGCAUUCCCUGGUGUUCUAAUGAGGCAAUUAGAGCCACUGAGUUUGAGACUGUAAGAGCAGGACGGGGCUCUGAAGACCCCCCUCGCCCAACCCCCUCAUUUUACAGAAGAGGCAACUGAGGCCCAGAGAGGGAGAUCCCAGAGUGACAAUGCCAAUUAGGGCUGGGACUGGGACCCAGGUCUCCAGCCACCACAGUGCCCUGCCUCUGCCAGAAUCAAAACCCACCCGCCAGAGGACAUGCACUUGAGAACACACCCUUUAGCACUUUCUGCUGUCAGUUACAUGGCUCAUUCUCCAUUGACAGACAGAAUAGAGGAAUUCACUGGAAAGGAGAACCACUUCACAGCAACGUUUUACAAGAAGCCUGAUGGUGGGAUGGAGCCCGUCAUUCAUAUUAAUGAGACAUGCAUGGAAGUGGCAAUGAGCAUGUGGAGUGUGGCUAAAAGAAAUGUGGUUCUUCACUUGGAGCUGAUGUGAAACACAGGCAAUCUGUUGGCCUACUGAGAGGAACUUCUUUUAAAAGCCAAGAACAAGAAUACCACCCAAAGACAUCUGUUCCUCUCAUCCUUUAGUGAAGUGCAGAUGGAGAUUCCUACAUGGUUUUGUUGUCAUCAAUACCUUCAAGUGUUUCCUUCAGAAAAUCCUUUGGUGGAGAGUUUAAUACAGUAGGGAGGAAGCUUUUAGGUUUUCUCAUAAGUGUUUACCAAAAGAAGCAAGAAAAGAAUGUUCUCUCUUCUAAUAGCCAUGGCUACACUCACUGGAAUUUCUUGAAUGCAGCUUCACUUACCUGGUUUCCUCCCCAGCUGUGAAUAUGGUUCCCUGGAGACAAGGCUUUGAGAAAGCGAGUGGCCAUUUUGAAGAGGCCCACAUGGCAAAAUACUGGUGUGGCCUUCAGCCAACAGUAAGCUAGGAGCUGAGGCCCUCAGUCCCAUAGCCCUGAAGACAUGGAGUUCUGUCAAUAAACAAAUGAACUUGGAAGCAGAUCCUUCUCCUGUUGAGUCUUCAGAUGAGACCCAGCCCUUACUGACAGCCUGGAUGGCAGCUCUGUGAGAGAUCCUGAAGCAGAGGACCUAGCAAAGCCAGCAAAGUUUCUGACCCAAAGAAACUGUGAGAUGAUUUGUAUUGUCUCCAGCCACUACGUUGUAGUUAUUUGUUACACAGCAAUGGAUAACAAACACAGGAUGUUAAAGAAGUAUUUUUAUGAGACUUUCAAUAGCUAACAUUAGGAUGUAACUGUCAAAAGAAUUAACCUUGUAAUUCAAAUGUUCAUUGUGGGCUCUCACUCACCAUGGAAGCUCAUGCAAAAAUGCUGGAGAAAUUUAAAAUGUCUUAUGUGACAUCUGGUAGAAGUUUAAAAGUAUAGACAACCAUCAUUAAAAAAAAAACUCAUUGUAACUUUGUUUAAAACCUUGGCCCUAGCAUUCAAAGAUUAAAAUCUAAAAUAGGCUUGGAAUUUGGUCACUUCUUAAGGUCUAUGUCAGAUAUCUCUGUCAAAGCCCACAUAUUGUAAGAGUUGCUAAAGCUACAUACAACACUAUGGUGAGCAUUUCAUGCCUAAGUAUGAGAAUUGUAUUUGAUGCAUAUUAAUUGGUAAAAUCUAUUAGCUAGAUACUUAAUAAGAGAGAAGACUGAAGGAAUUGAGAAACCAGUGAACAGAGAUUGCUAAUUAAGAAAAAAAAAUCUGACUCUUUUAUAGGUUUACAUCUUGUAUUACUACCUAAUUGGCUCACUGUUUUGUUUUGUUUUUAUUUGGCAGUUGAAAGAGCCUGUAGACAUUUUAAAUCUCUUCAGAAUUUAUGAUUCAUUUGGUGAAACAGUAGCUGCUAGACUUGUGGAUGUUAAGAACCAGGAAAAAUGAAAAUUCAAAAACAAAAAUAGGUAGGUGAAUGAAUAGGUGAUUGAAUAUACUGCCACAGACAGUAAAGUUUAUUUUGUCAAGCUAGGACAUUAAACUAAAAAAAAAAAAUCACUGUAUGCUAUCAUCAUUAUUUUAUAGAGAAAGAACAAUUCAACCUCAACAGAAAAAUAAUAAUUUCAAAAUUAAAAAACAUAACUUUAAUUUCAAAAAAGCUUUUUUUUUUUUUUGAGAUGGAGUCUCGCUCUUUCACUCAGGCUGGACUGCAGUGGCGCUAUCUCGGCUCACUGCAAGCUCUGCCUCCCGGGUUCGCGCCAUUCUCCUGCCUCAGCCUCGUGAGUAGCUGGGACUACAGGCACCCACCACCAGGCCUGGCUAAUUUUUUGUAUUUUUAGUAGAGACGGGGUUUCACUGUGUUAGCCAGGAUGGUUU